AUUCGGCAUUGGGCUUGCUUUGUUUCCUGCCAGGCCCAGCAUUUUCUUCUACCAGAUCGGCAGGCUUGUGGGCUUCUUCCUAGGUCCCUCCCCUGCACUCUGAAUAGGAAAGCUGGAAGCUGUGCUUUAGAGAAGCUUUAAGACGCCGAAAGAAACCAGAAGAGUGGCAUGGAAUAUUCACAUGGGAGAGCCGCAUGAGGCCGCCCACCACGCUUCCUGAAGGAUGCCCGUGUGGAAGAAUUUUGACGUGCCAGUGUCCUCGUUCUACAGGGUGUUCCAUUCUUCCGCAAUCUCAGAAAAAUGGGACUAAAAGAAACUAUUUUGUAAAAUAAGAAGACUUCCAUUUUUAAUGACCAACAUGUAUUAAGAUGGACACCUACUCUACGAAACACGAAGUUCUAUGGUCUCGAAGAAGCCCGUGCCUGUUUAAAACUGAUCCUAACUAAAAACAGACUUGAGUGGAUAUGAGAAUGUUGGUUAGUGGCAGAAGAGUCAAAAAAUGGCAGUUAAUUAUUCAGUUAUUUGCUACUUGUUUUUUAGCGAGCCUCAUGUUUUUUUGGGAACCAAUCGAUAAUCACAUUGUGAGCCAUAUGAAGUCAUAUUCUUACAGAUAC
rnacentral:lncRNA from 1 species